GGGUCAUUAGGUUGGUCGUGCCACCGGUACGUACUGGUCUCACUGAUUCCUCCUUCCUGAAGAACCGUAAUGCCAUUAAUUUGGUGUUGCGGGGAGACAGGACUGUUACUUUGAAAAAAUUAGAGUGUUUAAAGCAAGCUAACGCUUGAAUACAUUAGCAUGGAAUAAUGAAAUAGGACGAUCGAUCCUAUUUUGUUGGUUUCUAGGAUUGACGUA
rnacentral:rRNA from 1 species